UACGUAGGGUGCGAGCGUUGUCCGGAAUUAUUGGGCGUAAAGGGCUCGUAGGCGGUCUGUCGCGUCGAAAGUGAAAACUCAGGGCUUAACCCUGAGCCUGCUUCCGAUACGGGCAGACUAGAGGUAUGCAGGGGAGAACGGAAUUCCUGGUGUAGCGGUGAAAUGCGCAGAUAUCAGGAGGAACACCGGUGGCGAAGGCGGUUCUCUGGAACGCAACUGACGCUGAGACGCGAAAGCGUGGGGAGCAAACAGG
rnacentral:rRNA from 1 species